rnacentral:rRNA from 1 species
GACGAACGCUGGCGGCGCGCUUAACACAUGCAAGUCGAACGGAAAGGCCCUGCUUGCAGGGUACUCGAGUGGCGAACGGGUGAGUAACACGUGGGUUAUCUGCCCUGCACUUCGGGAUAAGCCUGGGAAACUGGGUCUAAUACCGGAUAGGAGCCAUUUUUAGUGUGAUGGUUGGAAAGUUUCUUCGGUGUAGGAUGAGCUCGCGGCCUAUCAGCUUGUUGGUGGGGUAAUGGCCUACCAAGGCGGCAACGGGUAGCCGGACUGGGAGGGUGGACAGCCACAUUGAGACUGAGAUGCGGCCGAGGCUCCUACGGGAGGCAGCAGUGGGGAAUAUUGAACAAUGGGCGCAAGCCUGAUGCAGCGACGCCGCGUGGGGGAUGACGGCCUUCGGGUUGUAAACUCCUUUCGCUAGGGACGAAGCUUUUUGUGACGGUACCUAGAUAAGAAGCACCGGCUAACUACGUG